GAUGAACGCUAGCGACAGGCUUAACACAUGCAAGUCGAGGGGCAGCGAGGGCGUAGCAAUACGCUUGUCGGCGACCGGCGCACUGGUGAGUAACACGUAUGCGACCUGCCCCCUACAGGGGUAUAACCCGUAGAAAUGCGGACUAAUCCCCCAUAGUCCUGGGUGCUGCAUGGCAUUCAGGGGAAAGGCCAGCCGGUAGGGGAUGGGCAUGCGGCGCAUUAGCUAGUUGGCGGGGCAACGGCCCACCAAGGCGACGAUGCGUAGGGGUUCUGAGAGGAAGGUCCCCCACACUGGUACUGAGACACGGACCAGACUCCUACGGGAGGCAGCAGUGAGGAAUAUUGGUCAAUGGACGGAAGUCUGAACCAGCCAAGUAGCGUGCAGGAUGACGGCCCUAUGGGUUGUAAACUGCUUUUANGUGGGAAUAAAGUCAGGGACGUGUCCCUGUUUGCAUGUACCACAGGAAUAAGGACCGGCUAAUUCCGUGCCAGCAGCCG
rnacentral:rRNA from 1 species